rnacentral:rRNA from 1 species
UUGAACGCUGGCGGCAGGCCUAACACAUGCAAGUCGAGCGGAUGAAGGGAGCUUGCUCCUGGAUUCAGCGGCGGACGGGUGAGUAAUGCCUAGGAAUCUGCCUGGUAGUGGGGGAUAACGUCCGGAAACGGGCGCUAAUACCGCAUACGUCCUGAGGGAGAAAGUGGGGGAUCUUCGGACCUCACGCUAUCAGAUGAGCCUAGGUCGGAUUAGCUAGUUGGUGGGGUAAAGGCCUACCAAGGCGACGAUCCGUAACUGGUCUGAGAGGAUGAUCAGUCACACUGGAACUGAGACACGGUCCAGACUCCUACGGGAGGCAGCAGUGGGGAAUAUUGGACAAUGGGCGAAAGCCUGAUCCAGCCAUGCCGCGUGCGUGAAGAAGGUCUUCGGAUUGUAAAGCACUUUAAGUUGGGAGGAAGGGCAGUAAGUUAAUACCUUGCUGUUUUGACGUUACCAACAGAAUAAGCACCGGCUAACUUCGUG